UACGUAGGGUGCGAGCGUUAAUCGGAAUUACUGGGCGUAAAGCGUGCGCAGGCGGUUCUCCAAGUCCGUUGUGAAAGCCCCGGGCUCAACCUGGGAAUGGCAGUGGAAACUAGGGGACUGGAAUCUGGCAGAGGGGGGUGGAAUGCCGCGUGUAGCAGUGAAAUGCGUAGAGAUGUGGAGGAACACCGAUGGCGAAGGCAGCCCCCUGGGUCAAGAUUGACGCUCGAUGCACGAAAGCGUGGGGAGCGAACAGG
rnacentral:rRNA from 1 species